rnacentral:rRNA from 1 species
AGAGCGAACGCUGGCGGCAGGCUUAACACAUGCAAGUCGAGCGGGCGUAGCAAUACGUCAGCGGCAGACGGGUGAGUAACGCGUGGGAACGUACCUUUUGGUUCGGAACAACCCAGGGAAACUUGGGCUAAUACCGGAUAAGCCCUUACGGGGAAAGAUUUAUCGCCGAAAGAUCGGCCCGCGUCUGAUUAGCUAGUUGGUGGGGUAAUGGCCCACCAAGGCGACGAUCAGUAGCUGGUCUGAGAGGAUGAUCAGCCACAUUGGGACUGAGACACGGCCCAAACUCCUACGGGAGGCAGCAGUGGGGAAUAUUGGACAAUGGGCGCAAGCCUGAUCCAGCCAUGCCGCGUGAGUGAUGAAGGCCCUAGGGUUGUAAAGCUCUUUUGUGCGGGAAGAUAAUGACGGUACGCAAGAAUAAGCCCCGGCUAACUUCGUGCCAGCAGCCGC